GACGAACGCUGGCGGCGUGCUUAACACAUGCAAGUCGAACGCUGAAGCUCAGCUUUUGUUGGGUGGAUGAGUGGCGAACGGGUGAGUAACACGAGAGUAACCUGCCCCCUUCUUUGGGAUAACGCCCGGAAACGGGUGCUAAUACUGGAUAUUCACUGGUCUUCGCAUGGGGGUUGGUGGAAAGGGUUUUUCUGGUGGGGGAUGGGCUCGCGGCCUACCAGCUUGUUGGUGGGGUGAUGGCCUACCAAGGCUUUGACGGGUAGCCGGCCUGAGAGGGUGACCGGUCACAUUGGGACUGAGAUACGGCCCAGACUCCUACGGGAGGCAGCAGUGGGGAAUAUUGCACAAUGGGCGCAAGCCUGAUGCAGCGACGCCGCGUGAGGGAUGGAGGCCUUCGGGUUGUGAACCUCUUUCGCUCAUGGUCAAGCCGCAACAAUGGUUGUGGUGAGGGUAGUGGGUAAAGAAGCGCCGGCUAACUACGU
rnacentral:rRNA from 1 species